AUUGAACGCUGGCGGCAGGCCUAACACAUGCAAGUCGAGCGAGCGGCGGACGGGUGAGUCAUGCCUGGGAAUUGCCCAGUCGAGGGGGAUAACAGUUGGAAACGACUGCUAAUACCGCAUACGAUUGGAUUGCCCAGGUGGGAUUAGCUAGUUGGUGAGGUAAGGGCUCACCAAGGCGAAGAUCCCUAGCUUGUCUGAGAGGAUGAUCAGCCAAACUGGAACGGAGAAACGGGCCAGAAGCCUACGGGAGGAAGCAGUGGGGAAUAUUGCACAAUGGGGGAAACCCUGAUGCAGCCAUGCCGCGUGUGGGAAGAAGGCCUUCGGGUUGUAAAGCACGUUCAGCGAGGAGGCGUUACUCGCAGAAGAAGCACCGGCUAACGCCGUGCCAGCAGCCGCGGUAAUAC
rnacentral:rRNA from 1 species